GGCGGAGCCCUGGGGGUGCGGAACGUGAUUGGGCAAUGCAUGGAGGGCGGAGAGCUCCCGCGCCAGGAACGGCCAUGGAUAGGGCAACGCGCGAGGUGGGCGUGGACCUGUGGAAUAGCCUGAGGCCCGGAUGGGGCCGGCAAAUAAGGGGUAGGGACUAGGCGGUCGCCCGGAGUAGAGGGCGGGACCUCUGCCAGGCUUCAGGGCGGCGGAGCGAAAGCGCUAGGUCUCCAGAGGCCCAGAGACCCCACGGGGGACAGAUGGAAUUAAGAAUCGUGCGGAGGGGACAGGACUUGCCCUAGGAGCAGGAGUUGGGUCCCAUUGCACGCUGGCCCAGAGCAGUGGCUACUGCAGGGAUGCCCGAGAGGCAGAAGGCGGAGAGGCAGUGUGCACAGACCCUUGCUCAGUCUCCUGCUGGUGACCAAGGCCUUUCCCGGAAUCCAGAAAGGAAUUAAAUUCUGGGACAGACCUCACCUUCCGCACAGAUUUCUGCAGCAGAGUGUUGCUAGAGUGAAAUCCGCCUUCAGCCGCGGUGGCCCCACGCCCCAGGGAGGCCCGAGGUGAUGCAGCUUCUCUUGGCCUGUUCUCUUGGUGUCAGCACCCUGCAGAGGCCUGCGGGGCGCUCAGUGGGGUAGCAGCAUGGCUGGAGUCCUUGCUGUGACCUUGCCUCUGGGCAAACACUGUCUUGAACCCUCUCCCUGCCCCUUUCUGGCGGCUGCCACUCCGAUUCCAUGACUGGAUGGCCCAGGAUUGCAGUGGGGAGGCAUUUUACGGCAUAAGUCACUGGUAGGUGGCAGAAGGACUUGCUGUCCUGUCUGCCCAGGCUUGGGGUGCCGACCGGGUCACAGCGAUCUGCUCCACACUCCAGACUUUGGUACCUUUUAUAACGUCAACGUUCUGUUUGUAUUACUGCUUUGUCACAGGCCAGUGCCAUGCAGUGCAACUCAUGCCCCACAGUACCUGCCCUAGCUUCCCUAGAUCGUUUGGAGAGAAGAAUAAAAUCACGUAUCAAUG